CGGGUGGCCCCCCCUUCAAGACCGGAAAUUGCCGAAGCCGCUCGGCUCGCCGCAAAAGCUUCGGAAAUAGCCGACGAGGUUCGGAUUGAUCGUAGCUGGGAUCGGAUUGGACGGGCAGGAGAAGGGGGCGGAGCGGAGAUGGACCCAGGCCCGACAGUGGUGGGGGGCGUGUCUGAGCCGCUGGCUCCUCGCUCGCUCCAGGGCGCGGCAGCCGGAGCCUUCGCCAUAGGCUGGGAAACACCCAGGGAAGCCCCUCCAGUUUCUCCACAAACCAUAUUUGGUUCAGUAUUAGUGCAAGCUUCCAUCAACUGCCCACCAAUAUGUCCACAGUCCUGACCUUGAGGCCCUACAUCUAUGGGAUAAUGACAGUUCAUUCUCCAUUCCUUCUGAGUUUUUGUCUUUAAUGCAGAGACUGACAACAAGAGUACCCAUUGUGGCAGUGAUUUUGACACGUGACUUUUGUCCACUGAGAGAUAGAUUGAACCAUUUCUUUACUAACAUCACCACCAAGCGACAGAAGCGCUGAUCAAAAGGGAGAGCCUGGCUGAAGAGCAAACAGCCAGCCUGUGGUCUUCACACGCAAGCCAGAAAAGCAAGUUCUCUUCGCUGUACUCCGUUCGAAGAAACUCUCUGAAAAGGUUCCUACCAGCUGGUGUUUUCAUCAUCUUGUCAAAAUUCUGAGCCCAAGACAUAAUUUCAUCUGCAGUAGGGUUUUGGCUGCAAAAAGAAAGUAUCAUUAGAAUAUGCUUCUGUUUUUGUAACAGUGUUUACAUACAUUGGGCCAAAUUCUCCUCAGUUAUACUGUAGUCAAGAACUAAUGAAAAUAAUGGGGCUUCAUUCAUAACUAUAGAGUUUUGCAUGGUGUUCAUUUUUGUGUUCAUAAUCCUGAUACCAAUUAAAUUUGUUUUAUUUUAAGAGGCAGGG